rnacentral:tRNA from 1 species
GGAAGGGUAGCCAAGCGGUCAUAAGGCAACUGCCUUACAAGCAGCAAGAACUCGAAAGAGUCCCGAGGGUUCGAAUCCCUCCCCUUGCCA